CUUUUGACCUCGGAUCAGGUAGGGAUACCCGCUGAACUUAAACAUAUCAAUAAGCGGAGGAAAAGAAACCAACAGGGAUUGCCCUAGUAACGGCGAGUGAAGCGGCAGCAGCUCAAAUUUGAAAUCUGGCUCUUUCAGAGUCCGAGUUGUAAUUUGCAGAGGGCGCUUUGGCGUUGGCAGCGGUCCAAGUUCUUUGGAACAGGACGUCACAGAGGGUGAGAAUCCCGUACGUGGUCGCUAGCCUUCGCCGUGUAAAGCCCCUUCGACGAGUCGAGUUGUUUGGGAAUGCAGCUCUAAAUGGGAGGUAAAUUUCUUCUAAAGCUAAAUACUGGCCAGAGACCGAUAGCGCACAAGUAGAGUGAUCGAAAGAUGAAAAGCACUUUGGAAAGAGAGUCAAAUAGCACGUGAAAUUGUUGAAAGGGAAGCGCUUGCAGCCAGACUUGCCUGUAGUUGCUUAUCCGGACUUUUGUCCGGUGCACUCUUCUGCGGGCAGGCCAGCAUCAGUUUGGGCGGUUGGAUAAAGGUCUCUGUCAUGUACCUCCUUUCGGGGAGGCCUUAUAGGGGAGACGACAUGCAACCAGCCUGGACUGAGGUCCGCGCAUCUGCUAGGAUGCUGGCGUAAUGGCUGUAAGCGGCCCGUCUUGAAACACGGACCAAGGAGUCUAACAUCUGUGCGAGUGUUUGGGUGUCAAGCCCAGACGCGUAAUGAAAGUGAACGGAGGUGGGAACCCUUUGGGUGCACCAUCGACCGAUCCUGAUGUCUUCGGAUGGAUUUGAGUAAGAGCAUGGCUGUUGGGACCCGAAAGAUGGUGAACUAUGCUUGAAUAGGGUGAAGCCAGAGGAAACUCUGGUGGAGGCUCGCAGCGG
rnacentral:rRNA from 1 species